AAAAUAUGAAAUUUUUUUUUUUUGGGCCGGGGGGGGAGGCAACAGCUCAGAUUUGAAAUCUGGCCCUCUUCUGGGUCCGAGUUGUAAUCUGUAGAGGAUGCUUUUGGCGAAGCGCCUUCCGAGUCCCCUGGAACGGGGCGCCAGAGAGGGUGAGAGCCCCGUAUGGUCGGACGCCGAACCUUUGUAAAGCUCCUUCGACGAGUCGAGUAGUUUGGGAAUGCUGCUCAAAAUGGGAGGUAAAUUUCUUCUAAAGCUAAAUACCGGCCAGAGACCGAUAGCGCACAAGUAGAGUGAUCGAAAGAUGAAAAGCACUUUGAAAAGAGGGUUAAAUAGCACGUGAAAUUGCUGAAAGGGAAGCGCUUGUGACCAGACUUGCGCCCGGUUGAUCAUCCAGCGUUCUCGCUGGUGCACUCUGCCGGGCUCAGGCCAGCAUCGGCUCUCCCAGGGGGAUAAAGGUCGCGGGAACGUAGCUCUCUCCGGGGAGUGUUAUAGCCCGUGGCGGAAUACCCUUAGGGGGGGUCGAGGCCCGCGUUCGCAAGGAUGCUGGCGUAAUGGUCACCAGCGACCCGCUUAACGCCCCCCCAAAGAGGGAAAAAAAAGG
rnacentral:rRNA from 1 species